rnacentral:misc_RNA from 1 species
ACGAUAGAUGUCGCGAAGCGCACAUCUGCGCGCGUGACUGCGUUUCUCCAGGUCUCACAUUUCUCAGCUCAUGCCCAUACGCAAUUCGUGCCAUUGAAAUCUGUCGCACAAACCACCCAAACGCCGCGCUCCUUCCAAUGGAAAGAUGAAUAUACGCCUUCACAGCGGGCACCUGCGCGCUUACCAGGUGCUGAGAGGGACAGCCCCUCUACCGUUCCAUCCGCUUUCAUCCCUCGCUUCUCUGUCGCAUGUUCUCCUGCCCUGUUCCACCUGUUUCUUCCUACACACGAGACUGCGCAGCGCAUGUUCAUCUCCCCACCAUGGUUUCAGAGACGUGCCUGUCACAGUGCGACUCCACAGCACAGAGCAAAGACCUCCAUCGACGCCGGGGUAUGUAGCGCAUCGAGCCGCCGCCACCACCGUGGAGUGCAGCAGCGACCAGAUGCCGAAAGGUGCUCCACAAUGCCGCGCUCCGCUCUCCAGCGUGAGUUCACUGACACGGAUUCUCGGUCUGGCCGAUUCUGGCGGAGUGGCGCGUGCAUCCUCGACGACUGCGUUCCACAUUGCUCAGCCAGGCGCGACGCCUUUGGGAACAGGGCCAAAAAAAGGACAGCUGAGCUGCGACGCUACCGCGACAGGCAACGCAAUGCGCGUCAAGAGGCUGCGAAGGGAACUCUCAAACGCUGACCGAGGUGAAGAAGCCGCGUAGUGUGCAGCGCUGGAUUGCUGGAAAAAAGGGAAAUCGGACAAGCACUUCCUAGCUAGUUUGUGGGUCGGGUAGAGCAGGGCUUGCGUCCUGAAGAAGGAUGCGUCACCUCUGCCCUCUUGGACCCGGAAAACCACCGCUUUCUCGUGCCCGCGGUCAUCGUAAACCUCAGCGCUUGGGCUCCGCACUCUCUGAUGCAGUGGCCUCGGCAGCAUUUUCAGUCGUGCGAAAGGGCAAAAGAAAAGGGUCGGAUGCUCUGUCGCUGAGAACAGACGAAAAACAUGCAGCUUCGCAGCAACGCGUCCGAACUAAUCAAGCGACCUGACUUUCAGGAAACGCAGCAGCGCAGACUGAAGUGUGAUGGAAACGGCGCGAAACUGAGCGUGCGCCCCGGCGGUAGAAAAGCAUCCCGCUACCUGCCCUGGCGCCUGACGACGGCAUUGCCGAUGGUGCACUUUGCUGCGGUUUGUUUUGUUGCUGCCCAUCACUCUCACGCUCUCUCGCCUAGGACGGCUGUGCUAGUUGUCGCCGAUCCUGUUUCUGACUCGGCUGUACCGUUGAAUGUGAGACGGCGACGGAUGCGCAGUGAAAAGUGCCCUUUUUUUUUCCUUCUGUUCAGCACAGUCAUCUUGUUUGGUUCUUUCCCGGUCUUGGCAAUAUCUGCGUCCAUCACAGCGCCACCGCGUCGGUUCGCAAAGAAAGAAAAGAAGGGCAUUCGCUAUGGUUUUGCAAUGGUGUGCUGGCUUCCUUCUGGGUAACCUUUUUUCAUCCGUUUGCUUCAUCGCUGGAUGGACGUCGCUCCCCCGCCCUCUUGGCCUUUUGCAGCUCCGCGCCUCCUUGGCCUUAUCCUUCCUUUUCGUCUGUGCACUUCGGAUUCCUGUUCCACUUCCUCUUUUUUCAUUGGUGGUGGUGGCUCGCUGGGCCACAUUCUGUUCUACGUUUUGGCUGGUGUUGAAUCUGAUGAGCUGGCACUCUUAUCUGUCACCACCACCCACCACCCGAAUGCUGCGGCCCCCACUAAAAGGUUGUCAGCGGCCACCUCACAUUUCUCUCUCCCUUGAGUGCUUCGCUAUGCGUGCGCCUGUGGAGUGGAGUGGAGUGUGUGUGUAUGUGUGUGUGGGAGGGGGGGGGCUUCGCUGCUAUGCUACUCUCUAUGUUUUGCGAGUAGCUCGCGCCUCUGUGCGAACUUCUUGUUUUUUCUGCUGUGGUGGCGGUGUGCCGCUCUACUUCCUCUUCUGUUAUGCUUCGCCGCCGCGGUUUGCAGCGGUUCACUUACCCUCUUCAUCCCCCCUUGUCGCCGUAAGAGCCUCAGUUGCUUGCGUAUGAUGGGCACUUUGCUCUGCAAACGGCAUGAAAGAUAAGUUUUGGAGCAGGGAGCACCGCGCUUACGGGCUCGUUCAGUAGGGUGCGCAGCGAACCAGGGGGUAUGCUCAUGCGCGGAGCGUACACUGCCGCGUUGGAAUGAUCGUUUAUGACGUGAAUGCGUCUUUGCCUACUUCCUGAGCUGCUCGCGCAUCAUGAGAAGUGGAUGUGACACGGAAAAAGGGGGCAAACUAAGAAAAAAAGGAAAACUGCGGACGCUGACUUUCUGCACACAGUGCCCCCUUUCGUGCCUCCAUCGUUUUGCCUCAACUCCACCGUCUCUCCUUCUUCGCCCAUCCUCCACAUCUCACCACAAACAAG